GUUCAUGACUGGGGUGAAGUCGUAACAAGGUAGCCCUAGGGGAACCUGGGGCUGGAUCACCUCCUUAUACGAAGAUACC
rnacentral:rRNA from 1 species